UACGUAGGGUGCAAGCGUUAAUCGGAAUUACUGGGCGUAAAGCGUGCGCAGGCGGUUAUAUAAGACAGGUGUGAAAAUCCCCGGGCGUCAACCUGGGAACGUGCAUUUGUUGACUGUAUAGCUAGAGUACGGCGAGAGGGGAGUGAAUUCCGCGUGUAGCAGUGAAAUGCGUAGAUAUGCGGAGGAACACCGAUGGCGAACGGCGAAUCCCCU
rnacentral:rRNA from 1 species